GUGGCGAGAGGAUUCAGUCUGGGGUGUCGGUUGUGCAGAUCGGAAAUAGAGCAGGGCUUCCCCGAGAGGGGGGAGUGUCUGGCCGCACGCAGUGCCUAUACACCCGACGUUUUUGUCUCUCACCCAAAGGAUGCCGUAGCCGGCUGGGUAGUGCAAACACGACGACCUGAGGGGUGGAAGAUGGCAGGUGACCGCUGGCGGGUCUUGUGUGCGUCGACGGUUGUUAGCCGUUCCGCCAGUGGUAUGUCCCCUGGCCGAGGUGUCGAGAGGCCCUUACAGGCCUCAACGUCCCCUCUUUUAGAGAUGCGGCUCAAAGUGUCACAGGGGAAACCCGUCGUCCCGUUCGCCCCCCUCCGGGGGGGUCGGGAAAACGGAGGGUGCUGUUGGAGAUGCCGGACCCGUUGGAGGUUGGAGGCUCGGGGAGAGUAGGGGGGUCCCCCCCCCGACCCGUCUUGAAACACGGACCAAGGACUAUAAUGUGCGCGCGAGUCAAUGGCUCUUGAACAGGCCCAUGGGCACAAUGAAAGAAAAGGGCGCUCUCCGCGCCGCGAGAGUGGAUAUCCCUCUCUCGGGGGGGCGCACAAACGGCCCGCUAUAUUCGUCUCCUCAAGUGGGGAGAUUUAGAGCGUACACUUUGGCACCCGAGAUAGGGAAAUAUAUGCCGGGAGGGAAGAGGCCAGAAAAAUCUCUGGGGGGAGGCCCGCAGCGUUUCUGACGUGAAAAUCGAUCGACAUAUCGGGCUCUAGGGGGAAAGAUUUUACCCCCCACAGAG
rnacentral:rRNA from 1 species